rnacentral:rRNA from 1 species
UACGUAGGGUGCGAGCGUUGUCCGGAAUUACUGGGCGUAAAGAGCUCGUAGGCGGUUUGUCGCGUCUGCUGUGAAAUCUGGGGGCUCAACCCCCAGCCUGCAGUGGGUACGGGCAGACUAGAGUGCGGUAGGGGAGAUUGGAAUUCCUGGUGUAGCGGUGGAAUGCGCAGAUAUCAGGAGGAACACCAAUGGCGAAGGCAGAUCUCUGGGCCGUAACUGACGCUGAGGAGCGAAAGCAUGGGGAGCGAACAGG